GAUAUAACUAACUGUAGACAAAAAAAAAAAACACAAAAUUAGCUUCAAUAGGUUUGCAUAGUUUUCAUAUGAGACAGAGAUAAAAGGACGUGCGACGUGGGACGUGCUCCUCCGGUUUCAUCAAAUUUCGAAACUGUCUUCCUAAAAAAUUCUUUUACCUUAAUCCCAAUAAUUAACCACCCCUCUUGAAAAAACACUACAACAAAUACAACCAAACCGAUGAGGGAGAGAGAAGCCGGAGUAGGCAACAGCGAAGGCAAGUAGUCUUCAUACAUACUGUUGAUUUAUGACAGAGGGAGGGAGGCAAGUAUUCAUCAUACAUAGGACUCUUCACAGUUACAGUAAUACUACCAUUUCGAUUUCAACAAGGCUGAUGUUUUAGAGAAUUGAAGGCUGAAAUGAAACGCAAGGUAAUGGUGUGCAUCUGAGUGAAGCUUGAAUGCAAGGUUUAACUAAUCAGUUUUGCAUCUUCAUAUGAUUCUUUUGGAAUCUGCUAUCAGGAAAAAAAAAGAGAUGAAAAAAUGUGUAGAAAUAGCAUAUCAAUCCUUUUUAAUCGAGAAUUAUCUACUUUUUACUUUAGUGACAAUUUAUUUUCUCGAUUGUUUGGCUACUUAACUCACAUGUUGAUGUGGUGUAUUUCGAGUGCUUUUUGUGGUUGUUUCAGCUUCUCCCAUGUUGUUAUGGACGCUUCUCCGGCGGAUUAUGUUUUUGGAUUCAUCAUCGACAAUUGGCAUAUGUAUUUGCUUGGACAAGGGUGCACGGGGCUUUCUAAUGAAUAUAAAGCAGUCAACAUUGACAAAGGAGAACAGUUCACUUCAGGUAUUUUUUUAUUUUUUGCUAGAAUCCGCCUAGAAUUAUGCUAAUAAAGAUAACAGAUGGCUUAUUAUUUGCAUGCUAUUAUACCAACAUGGUGCUUUGGGCUUAACUUUUUUCUUCAUUUUUACUUUUUGGGAUGGCAAGCCAAUAGAGAAGGUAAUAUUUCAUUCUUUGAUAGCUUAUACUAGAGUCUCCAGGGACACCAGUCAGCACCAUAAAUUUCACCAAUAAGCAUGCAGGUUUUUCUUUUUAAUUAUAUGGAGUAUAAGAGUAGUGGAAGGAGGAAUGUGGGAGGAGACUGAGCUGCUAGAUAUCCCUAGGGUAUAGGGAUGAAGGUAACCUUUUCAGAUCUCAUUGCUUUUGCCAUGGCCGAGUAUAUACUUCAUUUAUAUAAUUCAUGUAUUCACCCUUCUGAAUAGUAUACAAAGGUAGUAUCUUCUUCUCCCGUAAGGUGUCAAAUAACUUCCUUAUUUCCUUCUGAUUUUCAAGGAACUUCUACAUACAUAUAGAUUUUUCAUAAUAAAUAUGAAAAAUAUUCACAUCAUCUCUUGCAAAAUGAUUUUAUGUGCAACUGACAGAAGUGUUAAUAUACAUAUUAAUGUAGUAUGUUUCAACAUUUAUGAUCAUAAAAGUUUAUCUUUAAUCCGAGGUGAACUUGCACUUAAAUUUUUGAAUUAUACAAACAAAAAAUAUAACGACCCCCAACUUGCAUUCAAGAAAAUAUUUAUGAGUUGCUUAGGAGUUUUGCAGAAGCUUCGGCAAAUGUUACGAGGCCAAAAGGCCUGUUGUUAUGUUUCAGGCUGAGGUGUCUGGUAUAUACUUAAAUUUUACAAUUUCUAAGAGGAAAUGUCUGAGGUGCAAGUAUUUUGAGGAGAUGGCGAAGAGAUAUUUUUUGCAAUAUCAAAAAGUUCAACUUAGAGUUAUCUAUGUAUGAUAAUUUUGUGAAGCCAAUAAAGAGCUCGAUUCAGCUAUAAAUUCACAUAGUAUAAUUUUAUCUUCAGAAUUGUCAUUCAAUCGAAUGACAUAUUCAUAUUUCUGAAAAUAUUCUUUGAUUACAAAUAUUUGUUUCACUUAUUAAGAGAAAGAAGAAACAUGUAUAGAAUGGUUGGAGAAGAUAAAUUUUCUUCAGUUGUAAUAAAUAUUUUGAAACUUUUUUCAUUAAAAAUAAUUGUUUCACUUAUUAAGACAUAUAAGGAGUGUGUAUACAAUAGUUGGGAGAAAAUAAUUUGUUUUACCUUCUUAUGUUGAAAUGUAGCUAAUGUUCUUGGAUAGGGGAUGUUGAUUUUGUGUGUGUUCUGUAAUAUUUUGUUAUCCUCACUGUUUUUUGUACUUUUAAUUGAUUCUGCACCUUGCUUCUAAACUUCUAUAAAAGGAAGAGUGAGCUUUGGAGGAGGUCUCAUAAUAUUUUACUCACAAUCGUAUGCUCUUUCAUGUUAUUCUUUUCUUAAUUCGAGGCCUUAAACUUUGUCUACAUGCUAUUGCUCAUCUUAUAGGUAUGAUAUGUAAUGUAUGCAGCAGAUUUAAAUUUACUUCUAUGUAAACCUGAACUCACUUUAUCACUAUGAGCAUACAUGAUUAAGUAUUAGGUCACAUCCUCAUGUAAUAUUCAGUCCUUUUCGGGAAACUUAUUAGUAUGAAAGAUUGUAAUUCAUUUUUAGAAU